AUGAACGCUGGCGGCGUGUCUAAGGCAUGCAAGUCGUAAGCCCGCAGCAAUGCGGGUCUUGGCAAACGGGAGCGGAACACAUUGGUAACCUGCCCCGAGGACGCAGAUAAUCCUACGAAAGUGGGAAUAAUACGCGAUAAAAGCGAGGGGGCAAAAGUCAUUCUCGCUUAAAGCAGUAAUGCACCUCGGGAGGGGCCUAUGUCUUAUCAGCUAGUUGGUGAGGUAACGGCUCACCAAGGCUACGACGAGUACCGGGUGUGAGAGCAUGACCCGGCUCACUGGGACUGAGACACUGCCCAGACUCCUACGGGAGGCUGCAGUCAAGAAUAUUCCUCAAUGCCCGCAAGGGUGAAGGAGCGACGCCGCGUGUAUGAUGACGCCCCUCGGGGUGUAAAGUACUUUUAUUAGGGACGAAUCAAUGACGGUACCUAAUGAAUAAGUGGUUGCUAACUCUGU
rnacentral:rRNA from 1 species